rnacentral:rRNA from 1 species
GAUGAACGCUGGCGGCGUGCUUAACACAUGCAAGUCGAACGAUGAAGCCCAGCUUGCUGGGUGGAUUAGUGGCGAACGGGUGAGUAACACGUGAGUAACCUGCCCUUGACUCUGGGAUAAGCCUGGUAAACUGGGUCUAAUACUUGAUAUGACUUCUCAUCGCAUGGUGGGGGGUGUAAAGAUUUAGUGGUCUUGGAUGGACUCGCGGCCGAUCAGCUUGUUGGUGAGGGAUUGGCUCACGAAGGCGACGCCGGGUAGCCGGCCUGUGAGGGUGAACAGCGUCCCUGGGCCUAAGACAGGCACCAGACUGCAACGGGAGGCAGCAGUGGAGAAUCUUGCACAGUGGGCGCAAGCCUGAUACAGCGGUGCCGCGUGGGGGAUGACGGCCUUCGGGUUGUAAACCUCUUUCAGUAGAGAAGAAGCGAUCGUGACGGUACCUGCAGAAGAAGCCCCGGCUAACUACGUG